rnacentral:lncRNA from 1 species
UGGUGGUCAAGUCCAUAUCUCAGAUACUAUAAUCAAUAGGGCUAGUAUAUUCGGUGUAUGGAAGGACUGUAAGGUGUACAUGUCCAACUGGCAGGUGUCAUCUGACCUUGACCUCAUUUUCAUGGUUCAGUGGUUAUAGUUAAAUUUUUGUGUUUUGGUCUGUUUUUCUCAUACCAUAUGCAAUAGGUCUACUAUAUUUGUUGUAUGGAAUGAUUGUUAAGUGUACAUGUCUAGCGGGCAGAUGUCAUGUGACCUUGACCUCAUUUUCAUGGUUCAGUGGUCAAAGUUAAGUUUUUGAGUUUUGGUCUUUUUAUCUAAUGCUAUAUGCCAUAGGUCAACUAUAUUUGGUGUAUGGAAAUAUUUUAUGAUCUUUAUGUCAGUCAAGCAGGUUUUAUUUAACCGUGACCUCAUUUUCACAGUUCAUUGCACAGUGUUAAGUUUUUGUGUUUUGGUCUAUUUUUCUUAAACUAUGAGUAAUGUGUCAACUAUAUAUGUUGUAUAGAAGCAUUGUUAGCUGUACCUGUCUGUCUGGCAUGGUUCAUCUGACCUGGACCUCUUUUUCAAGGUUCAUCGGUCUUUGUUUAGUUAUCUUGGUUAAUGUUAAGUUUAUGUGACAGUUGUAAUAAAGCUUAGCUUUAUACUUAGGACUAUCAACAUAAUAUCAAUGAUUAGUAUAGAAGGCGAGACAUUUCAGCGG